CCUACGGGAGGCAGCAGUGAGGAAUAUUGGUCAAUGGCCGUAAGGCUGAACCAGCCAAGUCGCGUGAAGGAAGAAGGAUCUAUGGUUUGUAAACUUCUUUUAUAUGGGAAUAAAAUUAUCCACGUGUGGAUAUUUGCAUGUACCAUAUGAAUAAGCAUCGGCUAACUCCGUGCCAGCAGCCGCGGUAAUACGGAGGAUGCGAGCGUUAUCCGGAUUUAUUGGGUUUAAAGGGUGCGUAGGUUGUUUUUUAAGUCAGCGGUGAAAGUUUGUGGCUCAACCAUAAAAUUGCCGUUGAAAAUGGAAGACGUGAGUGUGUUUGAGGUAGGCGGAAUGCGUGGUGUAGCGGUGAAAUGCAUAGAUAUCACGCAGAACUCCGAUUGCGAAGGCAGCUUACUAAGCCAUAACUGACACUGAAGCACGAAAGCGUGGGGAUCAAACAGGAUUAGAUACCCUUGUAGUC
rnacentral:rRNA from 1 species